GUUUCUUUUGUGUGGUGUAGCAGAACUCGGUCUGCUGUCAAGCUUGUGUGUUCCCCCAUUAUAUUCUGUAUUUCCACCUCGAUGUCUUUCCAGUUUGGUUGGAUUCUGUCGCAGUCCCACCAGAUAUGUUUAAGAGUGCCGGUUCCGUUUUCGUGUUUGUGUUGUCCAUUAGGACUUCCCAUUGCCUUUUGAAUAGGUCCUUCCUUUCCCUCUCACCUGUUG